rnacentral:lncRNA from 1 species
UUCACGCUGGCCUGGCAUCCAAAAGACACCAUAGAGAGCUGUGAAUCUUCCUUCUCCCUCUUUAUCCUGCUCCAUCUCCUGCAGAAAUCGGUGCUCUCACGUGGCCGGUUCUUACUGCUCCUACCUGGUCCCUCACCCGCUUUAGGGAGAGCGUUACUCACUGGUGACCGGCACGGCAGUUACCUGACCCAUCUCGUGUUUGGUGGCAAGUACAUUCCCCUCCGCGCAGACCUGUUCAGGAGAACAACAGCAUCUAAUGCAGCAGCACUGCAGCCACGUUGGGGUUUCGGCCUUGUCUCCAGCGGCUCGGCAGACAGAUGCUCCCUCGGCGUAGCUUGUACCCCGUUCUCGCGUGGGGAGAAGUCGCGCUGGGGGUUGCCGUUUCUCCUGAUCCGUGAUCCUGUGACUGUCAGUGCCAAAAGGAAACGUGGGGCCCCGAGGAGGGGCACACGCCGUAGCUGCCUGCCAGAGCAGCACCGUACCAUGCUGAGGGCGCCCACAGGCAGAGCCGGCAGCUGCCUUCCCCUCUGCGGGCAAGCUGCCUCCCCUCGGCCGCGGGACCGGGGCAGAAACUUGGGCUGCCACAGAGAAGCACUUGCCCUUCGCCGUUGCCAGCCGGCGCUGGUGGUCACCACCUAUGGGAGGCCGAGUGCCUGCUCUGUGCUGAGCCGGCUCGGGAAAACCCUCCUCAUCCCUGCAGGCCCCAGCUGGUCUCUCCCUGCCAGCCAGCAGAAGCUGGGUUUGUCCCUCCGCUCAGAGGCUGAGGGACCCCAAGGGCUUUGCCAGAGCAUCGGGGGGUCCCAGCUGGGUCGAAGCGAGGGGCCCAGAUGCGACUGCAAGGUGCGGCUCCGUCCCAAGGCUGCCCCCGCCGCCAGCAGUCACUUAAACCCAGGAGGAAAAGUGGCUCAGGGGCUUCUCGGGUGCCUUGGAGCAGAGAGCUGAGCCAGCUCGGGGCACCGGUGGCCCUGCAGUGGGGAGGGGGCCCAGCGGCUGGCACUGGGCGCUGUGGGCCAGGACACCUGCCGAGCAGGCAACGUGCCAGGGCCGGACACGAUGAUUAAUGCUCUGAUGGCAGCUAAGCCCCUCUGCAAACACGCUUUAAUAUCCGAUACGGGGAGAUCGGCCGGCACCUGCGAACGUGCCUGCGGAUUAGGGGCGGCCACGCCGCAAUCAUCUGCGGAUACUGCCUCAGAUUAAGGUAUUUUUCCGAAAGAUUAGUCGGUAUUAGGGGGCUGAUCGGGAGCUGGCCCCGCCAGAGCCUCACCGGCAUUUAGGAUAUUGGAUGGCAUCGCAGGGACCUGAAGGAGCCGGCAGUAAUUCCACGCGCUAAUGAAAAUCACGGCGCUAAGCCGGCCCGGGGGGGCCCGGGGGGCCCUGCUGGGGCUACAGCUCGCCCAGGUUGGUGAUGGCCGCGCUGCAGAUGAGGUCGGAGAUGGAGCCCAGCGAGGUGGGGAGGC